GCUUCUGUGGCUCAGUCGGUAGAGCAAUCGCUUCGUAAGCGAUGGGUCGGCAGUUCGAAUCUGCCCAGAAGCUCCA
rnacentral:tRNA from 1 species